GAACCAGAAGACUGCAGCAAAAAUAAGUGACCCAGGAAGAAGACCUCCAGAGGACUGCAGCAAGUCACUCUUCAUUGAAGACAUCAAGCCAGCAGCAGAGAAGAAGAACAACAGCAGACUCAGGAUGAAGAGCUCUACGAAGACGGCCUCCUAUGCU